UUCGCCUGCGAGGGGGAAGGGGCUGUUCGGGGAAUAUCAGGGGAAGGGGGGAAAUGGGGACACUGGCCCUUUAAGAAGGCCAAGGAGACAGGGAAGGGGGCAUACACACAAGGGGAGGCUUGGUUACAGGGUUCCUCUCACCAAGUUUGUUAUUUAUUCAAUGGGGAAGAAGGAUUGGAAAGGUUUAUAAAGGACAGAUUCCCCAUUGGAAUGACUUGAGGAGGAAAAAGAGGGUGCCAGGAAGCCUCAGGGAAUUGGGGUGCUGGCCCUUUAAGAAGGUAAUUCUGAGUCAGGAAGCCUCAGGAAAUUGGGGUGCUGGCCCUUUAAGAAGGCCAAGGAGACAGGGAAGGGGGGCAUACACACAAGGGGAGGCUUGGUUACAGGGUUCCUCUCACCAAGUUUUUUGUUUAUUCAAUGGGGAAGAAGGAUUGGAAAGGUUUAUAAAGGACAGAUUCCCCAUUGGAAUGACUUGAGGAGGAAAAAGAGGGUGCCAGGAAGCCUCAGGGAAUUGGGGUGCUGGCCCUUUAAGAAGGCCAAGGAGACAGGGAAUGGGGCAUACACACAAGGGGAGGCUCGGUUACAGGGUUCCUCUCGCCAAGUUUUUUAUUUAUUCAAUGGGGAAGAAGGAUUGGAAAGGUUUAUAAAGGACAGAUUCCCCAUUGGAAUGACUUGAGGAGGAAAAAGAGGGUGCCAGGAAGCCUCAGGGAAUUGGGGUGCUGGCCCUUUAAGAAGAUAAUUCUGAGUCAGGAAGCCUCAGGAAAUUGGGGUGCUGGCCCUUUAAGAAGGCCAAGGAGACAGGGAAUGGGGCAUACACACAAGGGGAGGCUCGGUUACAGGGUUCCUCUCGCCAAGUUUUUUAUUUAUUCAAUGGGGAAGAAGGAUUGGAAAGGUUUAUAAAGGACAGAUUCCCCAUUGGAAUGACUUGAGGAGGAAAAAGAGGGUGCCAGGAAGCCUCAGGGAAUUGGGGUGCUGGCCCUUUAAGAAGAUAAUUCUGAGUCAGGAAGCCUCAGGAAAUGGGGGACCUGGCCCUUUAAGAAGGUAAUUCUAAGGAAAGGUCAGGAAAUGAGGUGCUGGCCCUUUAAGAAGGUAAUUCUGAGUCAGGAAGCCUCAGGAAAUUGGGGUGCUGGCCCUUUAAGAAGGCCAAGGAGACAGGGAAGGGGGCAUACACACAAGGGGAGGCUUGGUUACAGGGUUCUUCUCGCCAAGUUUGUUAUUUAUUCAAUGGGGAAGAAGGAUUAGAGAGGUUUAUAAAGGACAGAUUCCCCAUUGGAAUGACCUGAGGAGGAAAAAGAGGGUGCUGGCCCUUUAAGAAGGUAAUUCUGAGGAAGCCUCAGGGAAUUCGGGUGCUGGCCCUUUAAGAAGGUAAUUCUGAGGAAAGGUUAGGAAAUGGGGGUGCUGGCCCUUUAAGAAGGUAAUUCUGAGGAAGCCUCAGAAAAUUGGGGUGCUGGCCCUUUAAGAAGGUAAUUCUGAGUCAGGAAGCCUCAGGAAAUGGGAGACACUGGCCCUUUAAGAAGGUAAUUCUGAGAAAGCCUCAGAAAAUUGGGGUGCUGGCCCUUUAAGAAGGCCAAGGAGGCAGGGAAUGGGAUAUCCUCAACAAGGGAAGGCUUGUUUACAGGGUUCUUCUCACCAAUUUAUUUAUUUAUUUAAUGGGGAAGAGAUUUGAGAGAUUUUAAAAAGGACAGACCCCCCUUUAAAUAGAGAAAGACCCCCUUCACCAUUGGAAUGACCUGACUUGAGGAGGGAAAAGGGGAUGCUGGCCCUUUAAGAAGGCCAAGAAGACACGGAAUGGGAUAUCCUCACGAGAGAAGGCUUGGUUACAGAAUUCUUCUCACCAAGACCUCAUUGAUUCCAUUAAAAAUGAAUACAGAGAUUUAAAAAGGACAGAUUCCCCUCUAAAAAGAGAAAGACCCCCCACUUCCCCUUUAGAAUGACUUGACUUGAGGAGGAAAAAGACAGUGCUGGCCCUUUAAGAAGGUAAUUCUGAGGAAAGGUCAGGAAAUGGGGGUGCUGGCCCUUUAAGAAGGCCUAGGAGCCAGGGAAUGGGAUAUCCACAGAAAGGAAGGCUUGGUUAUAGGAUUCUUCUCGCCAAGUCUUUUAUUUGUUCAAUGGAAAAGAGGAAUUUGAGAGAUUUUUUAAAAAGACAUAUUCCCACCAAAAGAGAAAGACACUCUUCUCCAUUGGAAUAACUUGAGGAUGAAAAAGAGGGUGCUGGCCCUUUAAGUAGAUAAUUCUGAGUCAGGAAAGGUCAGGAAAUUGAGGACACUGGCCCUUUAAGAAGGCCUAGGAGCCAGGAAAUGGGAUAUCCACAGAAAGGAAGGCCUGGUUACAGGAUUCUUCUCACCAAAUCUUCUUUUUGAAAAAGAGAGAAUUUAAAAAUGACAUCCCCCCCCCCAAAUAAAGGCCCUUCCCCAUUGGAAUGACUUGAAGUGGUCAAGAAAUUGGGGCACUGGCCCUUUAAGAAGGCCAAGGAGCCAGGAAAUGGGAUAUCCUCACAAGGAAAGGCUUGAUUGCAGGAUUCUUCUCACCAAGUCUUUUAUUUAUUCAAUGGGAAAGAGAAAUUAGAGAAAUUUAUAAAGAUAAAAAGGUAUCCCCAUUGGAAUGACCUGAGGGAAAAGAGGGCGCUGGCCCUUUAAGAAGGUAAUAAUAAGUCAGGAAAGGUUGCCUCUUAAUGAAAACUUUGUCUGGAAUUGCUCCCCAGUUUCUAUAUCUAUAUACCAAUGAAACUGGAGCAUGUCAAUAGAGGAGGCUUGACCAAUAAUAAUGUUGUUGUUAUUAUUAUUAUUAUUAUUGUAUCUCACUGAGAUGUAAUAAA